GGCGGCGUGCUUAACACAUGCAAGUACGAACGGGACUGAUUAGAAAGCUUGCUUUGAAAAGUCUAGUGGCAAACGGGUGAGUAACGCGUAGGCAACCUGCCUCUAAGAUGGGGACAACAGUCCGAAAGGACUGCUAAUACCGAAUGUUGUGAGUUUUCCGCAUGAAAGACUCAUUAAAGAUGGCCUCUACUUGUAAGCUAUCACUUAGAGAUGGGCCUGCGUCUGAUUAGCUAGUUGGUGGGGUAACGGCCCACCAAGGCGACGAUCAGUAGCCGGUCUGAGAGGAUGAACGGCCACAUUGGGACUGAGACACGGCCCAGACUCCUACGGGAGGCAGCAGUGGGGAAUCUUCCGCAAUGGGCGAAAGCCUGACGGAGCAACGCCGCCGUGAGUGAAGAAGGUCUUCGGAUCGUAAAGCUCUGUCGAAGGGGACAAACGUGGGUUCUAUCAACAACGGAACCUAAUGACGGUACCUUUCAAGAAAGCCACGGCUAACUACGUGCCAGCCGCGGC
rnacentral:rRNA from 1 species